rnacentral:rRNA from 1 species
GUACUUAACACAUGCAAGUCGAACGGGGAUCAUCAGUGUAGCAAUACAUUGCUGGUCCUAGUGGCGCACGGGUGAGUAACACGUGGGUAACCUGCCCUUGAGUUCGGGAUACCCCCUCGAAAGGGGGGCUAAUACCGGAUACGUUCCUCGGAUCGACAGGUCUGGGGAGGAAAGGUGGCGCAAGCUGCCGCUCUUGGAGGGGCUCGCGGCCUAUCAGCUAGUUGGCGGGGUAACGGCCCACCAAGGCUAUGACGGGUAGCUGGUCUGAGAGGACGACCAGCCACACGGGGACUGAGACACGGCCCCG